GCUUGCUGCUUUGCUGACGAGUGGCGGACGGGUGAGUAAUGUCUGGGAAACUGCCUGAUGGAGGGGGAUAACUACUGGAAACGGUGGCUAAUACCGCAUAACGUCGCAAGACCAAAGAGGGGGACCUUCGGGCCUCUUGCCAUCAGAUGUGCCCAGAUGGGAUUAGCUUGUUGGUGAGGUAACGGCUCACCAAGGCGACGAUCCCUAGCUGGUCUGAGAGGAUGACCAGCCACACUGGAACUGAGACACGGUCCAGACUCCUACGGGAGGCAGCAGUGGGGAAUAUUGCACAAUGGGCGCAAGCCUGAUGCAGCCAUGCCGCGUGUAUGAAGAAGGCCUUCGGGUUGUAAAGUACUUUCAGCGGGGAGGAAGGUGUUGCGGUUAAUAACCGCAGCAAUUGACGUUACCCGCAGAAGAAGCACCGGCUAACUCCGUGCCAGCAGCCGCGGUAAUACGGAGGGUGCAAGCGUUAAUCGGAAUUACUGGGCGUAAAGCGCACGCAGGCGGUCUGUCAAGUCGGAUGUGAAAUCCCCGGGCUCAACCUGGGAACUGCAUUCGAAACUGGCAGGCUUGAGUCUUGUAGAGGGGGGUAGAAUUCCAGGUGUAGCGGUGAAAUGCGUAGAGAUCUGGAGGAAUACCGGUGGCGAAGGCGGCCCCCUGGACAAAGACUGACGCUCAGGUGCGAAAGCGUGGGGAGCAAACAGGAUUAGAUACCCUGGUAGUCCACGCCGUAAACGAUGUCUACUUGGAGGUUGUGCCCUUGAGGCGUGGCUUCCGGAGCUAACGCGUUAAGUAGACCGCCUGGGGAGUACGGCCGCAAGGUUAAAACUCAAAUGAAUUGACGGGGGCCCGCACAAGCGGUGGAGCAUGUGGUUUAAUUCGAUGCAACGCGAAGAACCUUACCUGGUC
rnacentral:rRNA from 1 species